UCAUCUUCAUCCUCUCUCACAGCUUCUGUCCUUAUUUGUUUUUUAAAAACUGCUUCUGAGAAUCUGUAGUUUAAAUCUCUGUCCUUAUUUCCAGACUUACAAACUUGACACAUCCAUUUUGCUGGCUUACAAGUGCCUGAAGCUCAGGAGGCAGUAAAUAAGCAAAUGAAUGACUUGCCUAAUUUUCAGCCUCCUGCCUGUCCUGCACUCCACCUACUACUUGCUUUUUGGAAGCCCUAGGACUGCCUGCCCAUGCGGUGAACUUGGUCUAAAUUAUCUGGAUGCCCGGGAAAAGUAGAUCUCAUCCAACCAGUUGAAGCCCUUAACAGAAAACUGGGAUACCCUAAGAAUGAUUCUGACUUCAAUUGCCUCCAGACUCAAGACUGCAACAUCACCUCUUUCCUAGGUUUCCAGCCUUCCAGGGUACCCUGCAGAUUUCAGACUUGCCAACCUCCACAAUUGUGUGAGCCAAUUUCUUAAAAUAAAUCUGUCUCUAUCUCUACUA